AAAUUCUCAACCAAAUCCUCGCUUUCGAGCAAGGGUUAUGGCUUGGACUUGGGGGUUGCUGGCGGAAACGUCGGCUCCCCUUAAAUGCAUUAGCAAUCCAGUCAUGCCAGUCUUUUGACAUGCACGGCCUCGGACGUGAUAAUCAUCAUCGUCCUCGCUGGAGUGUCUUUCCAUGAAGACUGUGCAUGCGGGGGAUCGCUUCCAAUCGCCAAAAGCGCGUCUCGGUCUAGCUUAGCUUACUAGGCAGUCAAACUUCUUUGGCUGGCGAACGCAAGCAAAGAUCAUCAGGGGACUCUCUUUAUUUCAAAGAC
rnacentral:misc_RNA from 1 species